rnacentral:rRNA from 1 species
UACGGAGGGUGCGAGCGUUGUCCGGAAUCACUGGGCGUAAAGGGCGCGUAGGCGGACGAGCAAGUCCGGGGUGAAAUCUUUCGGCUUAACCGGAAAAGUGCCUGGGAAACUGCUCGUCUUGAGGGAGGUAGGGGCCUGUGGAACUUCCGGUGGAGCGGUGAAAUGCGUUGAUAUCGGAAGGAACGCCGGUGGCGAAAGCGACGGGCUGGCCCUCCACUGACGCUGAGGCGCGAAAGCCAGGGGAGCGAACGGG